CGAAAGCGUGGGUAGCAAACAGGAUUAGAUACCCUGGUAGUCCACGCCGUAAACGAUGUCUACUAGUCGUUGGGUCCCUUGAGGACUUAGUGACGCAGCUAACGCAAUAAGUAGACCGCCUGGGGAGUACGGCCGCAAGGUUAAAACUCAAAUGAAUUGACGGGGGCCCGCACAAGCGGUGGAGCAUGUGGUUUAAUUCGAUGCAACGCGAAGAACCUUACCAUCCCUUGACAUCCAGUGAAUUUUCCAGAGAUGGAUUAGUGCCUUCGGGAACACUGAGACAGGUGCUGCAUGGCUGUCGUCAGCUCGUGUUGUGAGAUGUUGGGUUAAGUCCCGCAACGAGCGCAACCCUUAUCCUUAGUUGCCAGCACGUAAUGGUGGGAACUCUGGGGAGACUGCCGGUGAUAAACCGGAGGAAGGUGGGGACGACGUCAAGUCAUCAUGGCCCUUACGGGAUGGGCUACACACGUGCUACAAUGGCGCGUACAAAGGGCAGCGAACCUGCGAAGGUAAGCGAAUCUCAUAAAGCGCGUCGUAGUCCGGAUUGGAGUCUGCAACUCGACUCCAUGAAGUCGGAAUCGCUAGUAAUCGUGGAUCAGAAUGCCACGGUGAAUACGUUCCCGGGCCUUGUACACACCGCCCGUCACACCAUGGGAGUGGGCUGCACCAGAAGUGGUUAGUUUAACCUUCGGGAGAACGAUCACCACGGUGUGGUUCAUGACUGGGGUGAAGUCGUAACAAGGUAGCCG
rnacentral:rRNA from 1 species